GACGAACGCUGGCGGCGUGCCUAAUACAUGCAAGUUGAGCGAUGAAGAUUGGUGCUUGCCCCAAUUUGAAGAGCAGCGAACGGGUGAGUAACGCGUGGGGAAUCUGCCUUUGAGCGGGGGACAACAUUUGGAAACGAAUGCUAAUACCGCAUAAUAACUUUAAACAUAAGUUUUAAGUUUGAAAGAUGCAAUUGCAUCACUCAAAGAUGAUCCCGCGUUGUAUUAGCUAGUUGGUGAGGUAAAGGCUCACCAAGGCGAUGAUACAUAGCCGACCUGAGAGGGUGAUCGGCCACAUUGGGACUGAGACACGGCCCAAACUCCUACGGGAGGCAGCAGUAGGGAAUCUUCGGCAAUGGACGAAAGUCUGACCGAGCAACGCCGCGUGAGUGAAGAAGGUUUUCGGAUCGUAAAACUCUGUUGGUAGAGAAGAACGUUGGUGAGAGUGAAAGCUCAUCAAGUGACGGUAACUACCCAGAAAGGGACGGCUAACUACGUG
rnacentral:rRNA from 1 species